GGGAUUGUCCCGACUUCACCACAAUCAUCUGUCCCACCUUAGGCGGCUGGCUCCUUACGGUUACCCCACCGACUUCGGGUGUUACAAACUCUCGUGGUGUGACGGGCGGUGUGUACAAGGCCCGGGAACGUNUUCACCGCGGNAUGCUGAUCCGCGAUUACUAGCGAUUCCAGCUUCAUGUAGGCGAGUUGNAGNCUACAAUCCGAACUGAGAAAUGGUUUUAUGGGAUUGG
rnacentral:rRNA from 1 species